rnacentral:rRNA from 1 species
UACUGGGGGGGGCAAGCGUUGUUCGGAAUUACUGGGCGUAAAGGGCGCGUAGGCGGCGGGGUAAGUCGGGUGUGAAAUCUCAGAGCUCAACUCUGAAACUGCACUCGAUACUGCUCUGCUUGAGGACUGGAGAGGAGACUGGAAUUCACGGUGUAGCAGUGAAAUGCGUAGAUAUCGUGAGGAAGACCAGUGGCGAAGGCGGGUCUCUGGACAGUUCCUGACGCUGAGGCGCGAAGGCCAGGGGAGCAAACGGG